CGUAAACGUUGGGAACUAGUUGUGGGGUCCAUUCCACGGAUUCCGUGACGCAGCUAACGCAUUAAGUUCCCCGCCUGGGGAGUACGGCCGCAAGGCUAAAACUCAAAGGAAUUGACGGGGACCCGCACAAGCGGCGGAGCAUGCGGAUUAAUUCGAUGCAACGCGAAGAACCUUACCAAGGCUUGACAUAUACGAGAACGGGCCAGAAAUGGUCAACUCUUUGGACACUCGUAAACAGGUGGUGCAUGGUUGUCGUCAGCUCGUGUCGUGAGAUGUUGGGUUAAGUCCCGCAACGAGCGCAACCCUCGUUCUAUGUUGCCAGCACGUAAUGGUGGGAACUCAUGGGAUACUGCCGGGGUCAACUCGGAGGAAGGUGGGGAUGACGUCAAAUCAUCAUGCCCCUUAUGUCUUGGGCUUCACGCAUGCUACAAUGGCCGGUACAAAGGGCUGCAAUACCGCGAGGUGGAGCGAAUCCCAAAAAGCCGGUCCCAGUUCGGAUUGAGGUCUGCAACUCGACCUCAUGAAGUCGGAGUCGCUAGUAAUCGCAGAUCAGCAACGCUGCGGUGAAUACGUUCCCGGGUCUUGUACACACCGCCCGUCAAGUCAUGAAAGUCGGUAACACCUGAAGCC
rnacentral:rRNA from 1 species